CGUCUAUAUACGUAUAGCAUAUCAAUAAGCGGAGGAAAAGAAACUAACAAGGAUUCCCUUAGUAACGGCGAGUGAAGCGGGAAGAGCUCAAAUUUGAAAUCUUCAAGGGUUCUACCUUGACGAAUUGUAGUUUAAAGAAGUGUUUUCUGUUAGAGAGGUGGUAAAAGUUCUUUGGAAUAGGACAUCAUAGAGGGUGAGAAUCCCGUAUUUGACGUCACUUUCUAGCUACGUUGUGAUACACUUUCAAAGAGUCGGAUUGUUUGGGAAUGCAGUCCAAGAUGGGUGGUAAAUUUCAUCUAAAGCUAAAUAUUGGCGAGAGACCGAUAGCGAACAAGUACCGUGAGGGAAAGAUGAAAAGAACUUUGAAAAGAGAGUUAAACAGUACGUGAAAUUGUCAAAAGGGAAGCGUUUGACACCAGUGUUGUUUAGUUGAAAAUCAAUUCAAUAGUUUUUGAUUCUAAGUAGUAUUGACUUCAUCAGCUUGCUGCUUUCUUCUCAGAAAUUAUUGAAUGCACUUUUCAGUUAACAAGUCAACAUCAAUUUCUUUUGUUGUAAAAGGGUAAGAGGAAGGUGGCUUGCGCUUCGGCUCAAGUGUUUAUAGCCUUUUAUCUCUGCAAUCGGAGAGAUUGAGGUCUGCAGCGUAGAUCCUUCGGGGUUAGAUACAUUGGUGCUAAGCUAUAGCCUUGUAUAGACAACUUGUUGACUAUGCUCAGUCAUGUAGCUUACUCGCUGAUGCUAUUUUACCUACGCUUAGGAUGUUGACGCGCGUGUGUGCGUG
rnacentral:rRNA from 1 species